CGUUUAGGGGUAAACCUGAGAAACCCGAAAGGUCGAAGGGAGAAAUUCAUUCGCGGUUCGACGCAAGCGCCGAACUCUAGGUGACGGGGAUUACGUAGAUUCUUUCGCACCUUCCGUUCGGCGAACUGGCGGCGAACGCGUGCACUUUUCUCCUGGUAGGACGUCGCGAUUCGUUGAGUGUCGGUCUAAGGUCGUUUGCGGUGGAGCCCGUUUGCGCUUCUCGUUUAAGUGGCGAGCGGACCCGUACGACACCCGACCGACUCGCUCGACGGUAUACGAAAGGUUCGAGGCCGCUCGAUAUUUAAGUAGCGUCCGGCUCGUGGCAAGCGCGCCAGAUGUUUGUCGACGAUCGGACCCAGUGCCGAUUUUGACCUCUGGUGACUGUUGGCCACGAAGAUCUCGGACAGACCUCGUCGUUUAUAUAUUUCGGUAUAUAAAACAACCGAUCGGCGACGCUAUAGCUUUGGGUACUUUCAGGACCCGUCUUGAAACACGGACCAAGGAGUCUAGCAUGUGCGCGAGUCAUUGGGUAUAUCGCUAAACCUAAAGGCGUAAUGAAAGUAAAACGAAUACUUUUAGUAUUCGAGGGAAGACGAAUCGUUUAUCGCCCUUAAAAGCGACGGUUUUGCAUUCCCGGGGCGUCUCGUUCUCAUUGCGAGAAGAGGCGCACCAAGAGCGUACACGCUGGGACCCGAAAGAUGGUGAACUAUGCCUG
rnacentral:rRNA from 1 species